UUAGAAGGCAUUAUCUCUUAACCACUCAUUAGAAAAGUAGAUAUCAAGGGGAAAAAAAUCUUUAUUCAGGACACUAGUUCUCAGUAAAUUCAGAACAAAUAAGCAUUUUUUUGUAUUCAAAUCCACUUACUGCAACCUUGUGCUCAAGCAAAGUAAGUCCAAGUAAAAUAUAAUGGUCAGAAUCUAGCAAUACUCAGAGAAUUUUCUGGGUUCCUAAUCACUAUAGGUCUUAUUUCACCAAGCAAUUAAAUAUGCUUGUAUCCACAAGGCUUCUGUAAUUUAAACACAGGCCAAAAUGCAGUCUUGGCCUCAAGCAUUCAUUGAAUAAGCACAGGAUAUAUACAUGCUUAAAGUCAAGCAGGUGCUUGAGGUUUUUGGUGAAUCACAGCCUCCUAAAACAUCUCUUGUUGUCAACAGAGAAGGCAGGCUGCUGAGGCACCGGGUACCUGCUGGUGCGCCAGUUUGGGAAUGAAGUACCAGGCAGACCAUUGUGAGGAGGCUUGUGCUGAAGGAGGCAGCUCUCUAUGGACUUCUGGAGUGGUAAGAAUGACAAUCUGUGAUCACUAAACUCAUGUAAAAAAAAAAAAAAUAUAUAUAUAUAUAUAUUUAUAUUUAUGUUUUUUCUUAAUGGAUAAGGAGAAAUAUCUACUCUGUAUCACCCAGCCACUGAAAGUCACAACGUGCAGCUAGCACACUUAGCAAAUAGAGCCCACUGAAUGGUUACCUUGAGUAAUCUAAAGAAGAUUAAUAAUAAUAGAUGCAUCUUUUAAAAAUAUGUUCCAAAUUCUGAUACUGUCUUUUGGACUUAACUAAUUCCUAUUUGCUUUGCCUUUUUCUUUAUUGUGCAUUAUUUUCAAUGAGUGCUUUUACUCCCAUUUCCCCCAUUUUACAGUAAUCAUUGUCAGGGUGAUGUACACAUUGCAACGUCUUGUUUUGCUUCUGCAAGUUCUGGCAGACAGCAGAGGGAAUGUGUGCAGCUCAGGGAAUUAUACACCCUUUACACAGACAUCAGAGAUGAGCUUGAUGCCACUAAGCUCUCUUUGUGCCUGCCAUGAUGUAGAAGAUAGUUCAGUGGAGCUGAUACUUGUGUCAUCCUGUGGUCCUAACCACCCAAAUUCCUUCCCUUGCUGAGUCCUGCUGCACACUUUUUUGAUCAACCUUUCUUCCAUUACAAAUGAGGCAUCCGUAAGGACAGUAACUGGGGCAGGACUUUUCCAGAAAAGAGGAAUGUGCCUCUCAUGUGCUGGGGUGAGCAUAGGUAAAAUUCAGCACAGCCAGGACUUUUGUUGCAUGACCUUAUUUGUCUUGGUAAGUGUUUGAAGAAUCAGGACCGAUAUCUCUCAGCACUGGUGCUGGAUUUCCACUUAUUUUGCACCGGGGUCUUCCUAUGAAUCCCCUGUGGGAGCAGUUCAGUAGUGCUUAAAGGGAUGGCAUUUCUGUAAUUAUCUAAUUAUUGUUGCAUAGUUCUUUCUUGUGCUUGUUAACCCUUCAUCCCACUGAAAGUGGAAUCCCACACCAUUGAACUUGAAUAAAAAGUGACUGAGACCAACA
rnacentral:lncRNA from 1 species